rnacentral:misc_RNA from 1 species
UUUCCGUAGGUGAACCUGCGGAAGGAUCAUUAUCAUGUAAUUCAGUCCCCUUGGCUGUGUUAUAUAUAUACCCACUCUGCGUACCUUCUCCUGUUGCUUCCGCUGGGUGUGUAAUUCGCCCGGCGGAAGGGUAAAAAUAACCUCUGAGUAUUGAUGAAAUCUCUGUCUGAACCGAAUAGAAAGAAAAAUGUUAAAACUUUCAGCAACGGAUCUCUUGGUUCUC